UUAAGCGACUAAGCGUACACGGUGGAUGCCCUGGCAGUCAGAGGCGAUGAAGGACGUGCUAAUCUGCGAUAAGCGUCGGUAAGGUGAUAUGAACCGUUAUAACCGGCGAUUUCCGAAUGGGGAAACCCAGUGUGAUUCGUCACACUAUCAUUAACUGAAUCCAUAGGUUAAUGAGGCGAACCGGGGGAACUGAAACAUCUAAGUACCCCGAGGAAAAGAAAUCAACCGAGAUUCCCCAGUAGCGGCGAGCGAACGGGGAGCAGCCCAGAGCCUGAAUCAGUGUGUGUGUUAGUGGAAGCGUCUGGAAAGGCGCGCGAUACAGGGUGACAGCCCCGUACACAAAAAUGCACAUACUGUGAGCUCGAUGAGUAGGGCGGGACACGUGGUAUCCUGUCUGAAUAUGGGGGGACCAUCCUCCAAGGCUAAAUACUCCUGACUGACCGAUAGUGAACCAGUACCGUGAGGGAAAGGCGAAAAGAACCCCGGCGAGGGGAGUGAAAAAGAACCUGAAACCGUGUACGUACAAGCAGUGGGAGCCUCUUUAUGGGGUGACUGCGUACCUUUUGUAUAAUGGGUCAGCGACUUAUAUUCUGUAGCAAGGUUAACCGAAUAGGGGAGCCGAAGGGAAACCGAGUCUUAACUGGGCGUUAAGUUGCAGGGUAUAGACCCGAAACCCGGUGAUCUAGCCAUGGGCAGGUUGAAGGUUGGGUAACACUAACUGGAGGACCGAACCGACUAAUGUUGAAAAAUUAGCGGAUGACUUGUGGCUGGGGGUGAAAGGCCAAUCAAACCGGGAGAUAGCUGGUUCUCCCCGAAAGCUAUUUAGGUAGCGCCUCGUGAAUUCAUCUCCGGGGGUAGAGCACUGUUUCGGCAAGGGGGUCAUCCCGACUUACCAACCCGAUGCAAACUGCGAAUACCGGAGAAUGUUAUCACGGGAGACACACGGCGGGUGCUAACGUCCGUCGUGAAGAGGGAAACAACCCAGACCGCCAGCUAAGGUCCCAAAGUCAUGGUUAAGUGGGAAACGAUGUGGGAAGGCCCAGACAGCCAGGAUGUUGGCUUAGAAGCAGCCAUCAUUUAAAGAAAGCGUAAUAGCUCACUGGUCGAGUCGGCCUGCGCGGAAGAUGUAACGGGGCUAAACCAUGCACCGAAGCUGCGGCAGCGACACUAUGUGUUGUUGGGUAGGGGAGCGUUCUGUAAGCCUGUGAAGGUGUGCUGUGAGGUAUGCUGGAGGUAUCAGAAGUGCGAAUGCUGACAUAAGUAACGAUAAAGCGGGUGAAAAGCCCGCUCGCCGGAAGACCAAGGGUUCCUGUCCAACGUUAAUCGGGGCAGGGUGAGUCGACCCCUAAGGCGAGGCCGAAAGGCGUAGUCGAUGGGAAACAGGUUAAUAUUCCUGUACUUGGUGUUACUGCGAAGGGGGGACGGAGAAGGCUAUGUUGGCCGGGCGACGGUUGUCCCGGUUUAAGCGUGUAGGCUGGUUUUCCAGGCAAAUCCGGAAAAUCAAGGCUGAGGCGUGAUGACGAGGCACUACGGUGCUGAAGCAACAAAUGCCCUGCUUCCAGGAAAAGCCUCUAAGCAUCAGGUAACAUCAAAUCGUACCCCAAACCGACACAGGUGGUCAGGUAGAGAAUACCAAGGCGCUUGAGAGAACUCGGGUGAAGGAACUAGGCAAAAUGGUGCCGUAACUUCGGGAGAAGGCACGCUGAUAUGUAGGUGAAGUCCCUCGCGGAUGGAGCUGAAAUCAGUCGAAGAUACCAGCUGGCUGCAACUGUUUAUUAAAAACACAGCACUGUGCAAACACGAAAGUGGACGUAUACGGUGUGACGCCUGCCCGGUGCCGGAAGGUUAAUUGAUGGGGUUAGCGGUAACGCGAAGCUCUUGAUCGAAGCCCCGGUAAACGGCGGCCGUAACUAUAACGGUCCUAAGGUAGCGAAAUUCCUUGUCGGGUAAGUUCCGACCUGCACGAAUGGCGUAAUGAUGGCCAGGCUGUCUCCACCCGAGACUCAGUGAAAUUGAACUCGCUGUGAAGAUGCAGUGUACCCGCGGCAAGACGGAAAGACCCCGUGAACCUUUACUAUAGCUUGACACUGAACAUUGAGCCUUGAUGUGUAGGAUAGGUGGGAGGCUUUGAAGUGUGGACGCCAGUCUGCAUGGAGCCGACCUUGAAAUACCACCCUUUAAUGUUUGAUGUUCUAACGUUGACCCGUAAUCCGGGUUGCGGACAGUGUCUGGUGGGUAGUUUGACUGGGGCGGUCUCCUCCUAAAGAGUAACGGAGGAGCACGAAGGUUGGCUAAUCCUGGUCGGACAUCAGGAGGUUAGUGCAAUGGCAUAAGCCAGCUUGACUGCGAGCGUGACGGCGCGAGCAGGUGCGAAAGCAGGUCAUAGUGAUCCGGUGGUUCUGAAUGGAAGGGCCAUCGCUCAACGGAUAAAAGGUACUCCGGGGAUAACAGGCUGAUACCGCCCAAGAGUUCAUAUCGACGGCGGUGUUUGGCACCUCGAUGUCGGCUCAUCACAUCCUGGGGCUGAAGUAGGUCCCAAGGGUAUGGCUGUUCGCCAUUUAAAGUGGUACGCGAGCUGGGUUUAGAACGUCGUGAGACAGUUCGGUCCCUAUCUGCCGUGGGCGCUGGAGAACUGAGGGGGGCUGCUCCUAGUACGAGAGGACCGGAGUGGACGCAUCACUGGUGUUCGGGUUGUCAUGCCAAUGGCACUGCCCGGUAGCUAAAUGCGGAAGAGAUAAGUGCUGAAAGCAUCUAAGCACGAAACUUGCCCCGAGAUGAGUUCUCCCUGACUCCUUGAGAGUCCUGAAGGAACGUUGAAGACGACGACGUUGAUAGGCCGGGUGUGUAAGCGCAGCGAUGCGUUGAGCUAACCGGUACUAAUGAACCGUGAGGCUUAACCUU
rnacentral:rRNA from 1 species